rnacentral:rRNA from 1 species
UUCCUACGGGAGGCAGCAGUGGGGAAUAUUGGACAAUGGGGGGAACCCUGAUCCAGCGACGCCGCGUGAGGGAUGAAGGUACAGAGUAUCGUAAACCUCUUUUGUCAGGGAACAAAGGCGGGGACGCGUCCCCGGAUGAGUGUACCUGAAGAAAAAGCAUCGGCUAACUCCGUGCCAGCAGCCGCGGUAAUACGGAGGAUGCGAGCGUUAUCCGGAUUUAUUGGGUUUAAAGGGUGCGCAGGCGGUCUGUUAAGUCAGCGGUCAAAGCCCGGGGCUCAACCCCGGCCCGCCGUUGAAACUGGCAG